rnacentral:rRNA from 1 species
UACAGGGGGUGCAAACGUUGCUCGGAAUCACUGGGCGUAAAGCGCACGUAGGCGGAUCUUUAAGUCAGGGGUGAAAUCCCAAGGCUCAACCUUGGAACUGCCUUUGAUACUGGGGAUCUCGAGUCCGGAAGAGGUUGGUGGAACUGCGAGUGUAGAGGUGAAUUCGUAGAUAUUCGCAAGAACACCAGUGGCGAAGGCGGCCAACUGGUCCGGUACUGACGCUGAGGUACGAAAGCGUGGGGAGCAAACAGG